rnacentral:rRNA from 1 species
CCUACGGGGGGCAGCAGUGAGGAAUAUUGGUCAAUGGGCGAGAGCCUGAACCAGCCAAGUCGCGUGAGGGAGUACUGCCCUAUGGAUUGUAAACCUCUUUUGUAGGGGAGCAAAAGACGACACGCGUGGCGUUCCGAGAGUACCCGAAGAAAAAGCAUCGGCUAACUCCGUGCCAGCAGCCGCGGUAAUACGGAGGAUGCAAGCGUUAUCCGGAUUUAUUGGGUUUAAAGGGUGCGCAGGCGGACGAUCAAGUCAGAGGGAAAAUUGAGAGGCUCAACCCCUUCGAGCCGUUGAAACUGGUUUUCUUGAGUGAGCGAGAGGUAUGCGGAAUGCAUGGUGUAGCGGUGAAAUGCAUAGAUAUCACACAGAACUCCGAUUGCGAAGGCAGCAUACCGACGCUCAACUGACGCUGAUGCACGAAAGUGUGGGUAGCGAACAGGAUUAGAUACCCUAGUAGUC